GAUGAACGCUGGCGGCGUGCCUAAUACAUGCAAGUCGAGCGAACGGACGAGAAGCUUGCUUCUCUGAUGUUAGCGGCGGACGGGUGAGUAACACGUGGAUAACCUACCUAUAAGACUGGGAUAACUUCGGGAAACCGGAGCUAAUACCGGAUAAUAUUUUGAACCGCAUGGUUCAAAAGUGAAAGACGGUCUUUCUGUCACUUAUAUAUGGAUCCGCGCUGCAUUAGCUAGUUGGUAAGGUAACGGCUUACCAAGGCAACGAUGCAUAGCCGACCUGAGAGGGUGAUCGGCCACACUGGAACUGAGACACGGUCCAGACUCCUACGGGAGGCAGCAGUAGGGAAUCUUCCGCAAUGGGCGAAAGCCUGACGGAGCAACGCCGCGUGAGUGAUGAAGGUCUUCGGAUCGUAAAACUCUGUUAUUAGGGAAGAACAUAUGUGUAAGUAACUGUGCACAUCUUGACGGUACCUAAUCAGAAAGCCACGGCUAACUACGUG
rnacentral:rRNA from 1 species